GUUUGAGUCAACUGGAAUCACUUCAUUUGUUUCGUUUUCAUGGAUGUGGAUUUAAAUUCCCGUUGAAUUUGAAAAAGUUGGUUCUCUCACAUAAUCGUCAGCCAUGGAGUGAAAUUUCAACAAUUGGAAAGUUGCCCAAUCUUGAAGUGCUUAAAUUACUUGAGGACUGCUUUGUUGGGGAAGAAUGGGUAAUGAAAGAAGGGGAGUUCCCUAAACUCCGAGUCUUAAAAUUGUCGGAAUUGGAAUUUCGCAACUGGACUGCAUUUUCUGAUAAUUUUUCCCGCCUUGAGAAAUUGGUCUUGCACUCGUGUGAGGAGCUGGAAAAGGUCCCUUCCUGUUUAGGGGAGUGUGAGACGCUUGAAAUGAUUGAGGUGAAAGAGUGUCCUGAGUCUGUUGUAGAUUCUGUAAAGCAAAUUCAACAAGAGCAGAUAGAUAUGGGAAAUGAGGUUCUAAAGAUCGAAAUUGAUGAGUAUGAUACAUCCAUUUCCUCAGAAGAAUAGUCUACAGAAGCAGAGUCAACUCCCUCAGAAGCAGAGGAGAUUUCUUCAGAAAGAGAAUCUAUAUCCUCUCAUCAGUCAUCACGCAGUUGACAAUUGUGAGAGUGAAUGUACAGUAGGAUUCCACUCAUCAGGUCAGAUAAAACUAUAUUUGCAUAUGUUGAAUCAGUUCAAUUAUAUAAUGAUUCAUGUUUCUCUCAACAGUUUACCACGGCAAACCAUUCAUGUCUCCUUUUCAUCUGUUUAUAUGUUGAAUCAGUCCAAUGAUAUGUUAAUUCAUGUGUAUUUUGAAGCAAUUUCUGGAGGCGUCUAAAUUCUUUAUCUGUUUAAACCUGAUGCUGCUGCAUAACUUCCUGAUACAUUUCUGAUUGCAGUAGGAAACACAUUGAUGCACAAUCUGUUUCUAAAAUCUUCUUCCAUGUUGCUACAUAUUGAUAUGAUACUCAGAACCAGCAGAGCAAAAGCAUAACUUGAUAUGAUAUACUCAAAACCAGAUACACUUUUCUAUUCCCAAUUUGUGUUUGUAAAUAAGAGUAAUACAGAAAAGUGUAACUCAACUGAUUGAUAUGUUUAAACAUACAAUAACAGUUUUGCAACAAAUAUUAAGUGGAGACAAAAGCCCAAAAAAAACCUAUGGUUGUGUUAUUUUUCAACAGAGGAAGGGCAUAGGACUUAAUAUGUGUUUUUCUUCACUACAAUAUGCUGAAAUACAAACAUUUUCAUUCUUUAAUAGGCAAUAUUUUCGGAAAUAAAAAAGGAAGCAAUUUUUUCUUAAACUUUUUUUUUGUGUGUGGUUUCAUGUUUUAUUUUGCUAUUUUAAGUGGUUUAUUGCUCAAACUGAUCAAAAUGGCAAAUCAAAGAAACCAGAUGACCUAUUUUGUUGGGUAAUCUGUAUACCUCUUCAUUCAACUGAUGUAGUACUGUAAUUAUCCCUUCUUCCAGAGUAGAUUUCCUCAGCCGGAGAGUCCAUUUCUUCUCAUCAUCACAUUAGGCAAUGGUAAAGACUGAAGCAUUUAUGUCUCUUCUUGACUUUGUGUGAUCAUUCCACUCAUCAGGUCAGAUAUAAUUGCAUGUCCAUGUUAAUUCAGUUCAAUGAUAUAACUCAUGUCCCUUCUUCAUCUGUACCAAAUUAUUUGGUUUGAACCUGAUGCAGCAGUAUUACUUGUCAUUGCAGGGGCAAGCACAGUCAUGCAUUCUAUCAAGCCAAUAUUAUCCAUCAUAAUCUGUUUGUAAAACUAGCUGUUUGUAACUCUCUGUUUAAAGCACAGUCAUGGUUUGAUGUUUAAUAGUGUUUACGAUCCAUCACAAUCUGUUUGUAAAAUAUUCUCCAAGUUCUUUCCUGAUUUUGAUGUUUAAUAGUGUUCAUGAUCCCAAUUUUUCAAAUAUUCUUCAAUCCUGCUACAGAUUGAAAUGAUCCUUAAAACUAGCUGUUUGUAGAAUGUUCUCCAUGUUCUUUUCUGAUUUGAUGUUUAUUAGUGUUUAUGAUCCCAAUUUUUGAAAUCUUACUUCAUUGCUACUAGGGAUUGAAAUGAUCAAAUGAUCCUUAAAACCAGCAGACAAUUAACAAGCUUUUGAUUUGGUUAAAACCAGCAGACAAAUGAUCCUUAAAACCAGCAGACAUUUGAUCAAAUGAUCAAAUGUAAUUCAGUAAUACAAAACUCUCACGCAACAAAUACUUAGUAUCGACCCAAAAAAAAAAAAAGAGAUCUAAAUUGUGUUACUUUUCAAUAGAGAAAGUGCAUAGGAACAAAAUGGUAAAUUUUUCAUCAACAUGAUUGUAUUUUCAUGUAUAACAAUAUUUUGCCGAACGCAUACAAUAAAAGGAGGCUAUUUCUAUGCAUUCUUCAACUUAGCAAAUGUCUAAAGAGCGUAACUUUUCUUAAACUAUUUCAUCUUUUAUUUUCUGAUCAAUGUGAUUAAUUGUUCAAUGUUCAUCCUGGUAAAAAUGACAAAUUAAAGAAGCUGAAUGACAUUUUUGCUGAACAAUCUAUGUACUUCUUCAUUUAACUUGACAUCUAAUUGUGAUAUUCUAUACCAUGUAACUUAUUUAAUUCAAGAAUAUUCAGAAAAUAGAGAAAACCAUUAGCUGGCAAUCAUCUAAGACUAAUGAUUGUUGCUAUGACUUGUGAGACUAAAAAGGACAGAAUUCCAGGUGAAAGCUGACUUUAACUUUCUUCUAUCCAAAUGAUUGUAAUCCAAAAUUCCAAAUAUCGUUUCCUCUGCUUUAUUUUUCGACUUUCUUUCUUUCUUUGGGCCUUUGUUUCAUUUUUGCUUUUCUGAAUUUGGGCUGUAGCUUACUGGGUAUAUAUAUUAUUUCUUUUGGUUUUUUAAUUUUUAAUUUUUUGUAUUCUCUAUAUAUUUGUUUCUGUGAUUUAUUUUUUUUCCUUAUUUUUCUUUUUUCCCUUUUCUUGGGUUCCCUAAAAGAAACCUACAUAACUAACAAAAUAGAACAUUGUAUUAAAAAACUAAAUUUAUUAAUUAACAUACACAUGUAUAGACGCAGUUUACAAACUCACAGAGUCCUCAUGGAUGGACCGCUACUGAAGCAUCACAAAACAUAAUUAGUUCUUUUAUUACCCAUUUAAUUACUCUAUCAAAUCUAGUCCCAAUGAUCAAGAAAGGGUUCUUAGAUUCUUUUUCAUACCAAGUUCAAGGUUCGAAUAAUGUAUCUGACAAUUGGAAUUAAAAAGCAAUUCAAAUCAUGUACUUAACAGUCGAGAGUAAAAUGCAUAUGAGAAGGGAUGGGAGGAUUAAAAAAAAAAAAAAAAAGAGUCUCUUCUUGUCUAUAUACAAUAGUGUUCCUCUAUGUGGCUUGUAUAAUUGACUAGACAGCAAAGGCAAGACUUCUAAUGAUCAAAUCACUCUACGCUAACCUUUUAAGGUUUGUUCCACCUGCACCUUUAAAGUUCUUUCUAUUUUCAUUUUGCUUAAUCUUAGUUACAAAACUUUACAUCUUAUCUUUCAAAACAAAUUCUAAAUCUUACAAACGGCAUAAAAUUGAAUGAAAAACCUUAUAUUCACCUUUUUUUGUCAAAUAUUCACCUAGUUAAUACUGCUCUAAGCUGAACUAGGGCAUGAGAGAAUAAACUACUAUUGUUAAUGCCAUGCAUCCAAGGGGUGCUGAGGGAGGCCGUGUUUUGAAAGUUUUAAUUCACAAUGUGUAAAUAUGGGUGUAAAACAAAGUUAGCCCCCUAAUUUUCAUAAUUUUAGUUUAUAUUAUGAUAUAUAUAUAUAUAUAUAUAUAUAUAUAUAUAUAUAUGAUUUAGCCACCUUUGAAUUAAUUUUUUCUUCAAAUAAGUUAUUUAUUUUUUAUUGUGCUAGUUAUUUAACUUUUAAAAAAGUAAACAUAUAAUCAAUAAUCCAUAGUAAAUUGACCCAAUUUGAUACAUUAGAAUAAAUGACCCAAUUCAUAAUCAUCAACGGGUUAAAACAAAAACAAUUACUUUUUUGGCUAAUAUAAAUAUGCAAUUGAGCCCAAUUGAUUAGACUCGUUCUUCCUCUUGCUGUAUCAACUGUAAGUAUAGAACAGAUAUUUUCAAUUAUGAAGAUAAUCAAGAUAGUUACGAAACAAGAUGGAAGUUAAUUUCUUGAAUGAUUGCCUAAUUGUGUACAUAGAAAAGAAAGUUGUUGAAAAAUUUAGCGCUGAUUCAAUCAUAGAUAAAUUUACUUCUAAAAGGAAUGUAAAACUCAAUUUACUUUUAAGAAAAGAGAUUGAAAUUUUAGUGUAUGUUAACAUAACUUUUAUCUUUUUAAAUUAAAAUAUUUAUAUAUAUUGCAUAUAUAUAUUUAUUUAUUUUGCAUAGGCGACAUAUUGGAGUAUCUUUUCAUAAUGUAUAACUUGGGUGGUUUAUGAUAUUAUAAGAUAUUUAAGAAAAGUUUAUUUUUUGUCUUACUUUUCAUUUUGACUAUGUUGCAUAUUUAUAAAAUAAACAUACCUUUAUAAUUAAAAUUAAAAUUUAAUAUUUUUAGAUGUCAUAUAUUUAAAUAGAUGAACAUUAUUUUGAACAUAGCAUAUUAAAAUAAUUUUAUUAGAAAGAUAUUUGGGCGCCUAGGAAAAAUAUCUUGGCUCUGUCACUGCAUGGGUUCCAUUUGGCGUUCUCCUUCUCCCUGGCAUAAAAGAUGAGAUUUGUUUACAAAAAGAGAGCAAGUUGGAGAAGAUGAGGUUACCAGAAUAACCAGCAGUAGAACAAAUUCUCGUCUUAUAUUACCAUUUGCCACCAAUCCUUCAUCAUUGUUCUUCUUUUUUCCAAUCUAUCCUAAUUUUACAUCCAUUUUGCUCAUUAGCAUAUUCAAAUAUUUAACUUAAUUACAGGUUUAAAACCUGAAAGCUCUGCCGGAAUUUGACGCCGGUUUACAUUGGAUUGGACAAAUUUUUGUUUGAGUUACGCUUUUUUUCUUCAAGGAGUCAAAAGGAAACCUUUUAUUCUUUUCGGACCAUUUUUUCUUUAGGAGUCUUAAACUCCAUGAAGUUUUGGUUUUCGUAAUGAUUUCGGACACAUCAGAACUUUUUCAAACUCAAAAUACAUUAAAAUGAUUGAACUGAUGGUUCAAAAUACAUCAAAACCAAUCACUCAUUCUGUUCAUCACUGGUCUGCGUUUCACAAUAUUUUUAAGGGAUAAUUUCAGAAACUUCCCCUGAGGUUUCUGACAAUUACACUUACCUCCCCUGUGGUUUGAACAAUUACACUGACCUCCCUUGAGGUUACUAAUCCUUUACAAAUUCAGUCCAAAUGAUUAAAAUAUUAUUUUAGAGAGUGAAAUUAUAAUUUUGUACCUGAUUUGUCCUUUGUGCCACAUGUCCAAUGAAUGACAAAGUAUUACAAAUUAAUUAACAAUUAAUAAACUUUAACGAGCGUAGUUUAUAGGCAAAUACGUAUUGCCUAUUUAAAGUACCAGCUCUUUACAUGAAUUUUAUUUUCAAACAUUUACUUUAUCACAAAUAUUUAUUCUCAAAUACAGAUUUGUAUUUACUCUCAAAUAUUUAAUUUUUGUUAAAUACAAAACCUACCAGUUUUUCUUCCGUAGAAAUAUUAAUAUAACAUUUUUUCAAUUUUCAGUUACAAAUAUUUAUGUAUUUAACAUAAAUUAAAUGAUUCAGAAUAAAAUACUCAUAAAGAGCUAAUACUUUACUCAUGUAAUGGAUGAAAGCCAUAAAAAAUUAACAUUUUAUAGGCCAUUUUUUUUAAAUUUUAAUUUAUAUUAAAUAGAUAACCUAUCGAUUUUCUUUUCACAAGAAUAUUAUUGUAACACCUUUUAAUUUUUAAUUACAAAUAUUGAUAUAUUUAUUGUAAAUUAAAUAUUUAAAAAUAAAAUACAUGUAAAGAGCCGGUACUUUAAAUAAGUUAUGCGUAUUUGCCUAUAAACUAUACUCCUUACUUAAAUCAAUAAACUACACUCCUUAACUUAAAUCAAUAAACUAUACUCCUUACUUUAAAUAGUGUAGUUUAUAGGUAAAUACGCAUAUCCUAUUUAAAGUAUCGACUAUUUACAGAUAUUUUAUUUUCAAAUAUUUAAUUUAUGAUAAAUAUAUUAACAUUUGUAAUUAAAAAUUAAAAACUAUUAAAGUAAUGUUCUUGCAAAAAAAAAAUCAGUAGGUUAUCUAUUUAAUAUAAAUUAAAUAUUUUUUAAAAAAUAAAUGGCCUCAUAAACUAUUAAUUUUUUAUGACUUUCAUCCAUUACAUGAGUAAAGUAUUGGCUCUUUAUGGAUAUUUUAUCCUGAAUCAUUUAAUUUAUGUUAAAUACAUAAAUAUUUAUAACUAAAAUUGAAAAAAUGUUAUAUUAAUAUUUCUACGGAAAAAAAACUGGUAGGUUUUGUGUUUAACAAAAAUUAAAUAUUUGAGAGUAAAUACAAAUAUGUAUUUGAGAAUAAAUAUUUGUGAUAAAGUAAAUGUUUGAAAAUAAAAUUCAUGUAAAGAGCUGGUACUUUAAAUAGGCAAUACGUAUUUGCCUAUAAACUACGCUCGUUAAAGUUUAUUAAUUGUUAAUUAAUUUGUAAUACUUUGUCAUUCAUUGGAUAUACGGCACAAAGGACAAAUCAGGUACAAAAUUCUAAUUUUACUCUCUAAAAUAAUAUUUUAAUCAUUUGGACUGAAUUUGUAAAGGAUUAGUAACCUCAGGGGAGGUCAGUGUAAUUGUUCAAACCACAGGGGAGGUUUCUGAAAUUAUCCCUAUUUUUAACUGCUAAAGUUGUUCAAAAAGUGGAAUACUUUGAUAAAAAAAUCCUCCCCUGAAGUUUCUAGUAAUAUCAUUUAGCACCCCUAUAGUUCUAAAAGUAUCAUCUACCUUCCCCACAAGUGAAAUGUGACAAAAAUUCAGGAAUACAAUAAUCUUGUUCUUCUCCACAAGACCCUCAACGGACUUUUUCUCAAUUCCCUGUAGCACUAAAUUAACUCCGGCAAGAACUAAAAAUAGCCUUCAUCUUGAGUUGUCAUCCGAAAAAUUGAUGAAAGAGUUUUUGGCAACUUCAAAAUACAAUAAUAAGGCAAAAAUAAAUAUAACAUACGAGAAUCAUGUUGUUUGGCCAAUUGACCUAUGCCACAAGUGAAAGAGCAGCAAGUUCACUAUAAAGAAGAGUACAAAAUCAUAAGUUUUAAAGUACUAAAUACUAAAAAUUCAAAAAAGCCUAGAUCUAACAAAAGGCUCAACAAGCCCAAAUUAGCUUCUAACUAGCUCUUUCGGUUGUCAAUUCCCAAAAAAUCUGUUUCUUAAAUUGGGGCCUAGGGCCUCCCGAGUCUCUCUUGAUACACUAACUAACGGUCCAAGCUUGCUAUUAGUAUCUUUUCACAAGAAAGUCCAACAAAGAGUUUGGUUAGUGGAGACUUGCUAGCAAUAAUAUCUUUUCUGUUGCAUUUUUAGACAUCUUAAGCUGGACGUUCAGUCCUAGUAGAGUUUGGAUUUGGUUUGGUCAAUUAGCUGUAUUUUUUUGUUGAGGGUAGAAGACUAGAAGAGUUGUCCAAAUUAGCUAGAGGAAAAAGGGCAAAAGAAAGCGAAACCAAGAGAUGAAGAAAUAGGAUAGAUGACAACUUGAAUUUUCUUGUUCUUUUCCUCUAUUCCAAAAGGAAUAUUCAAAUAUGCCAAUAUAGUUGAGGGUUAAAUAGUUAAUUUGGUGGUUACUGCUCGUGGGAGUAUUAUGUCUAACCCAAAAAAAAGGGUAAAAGGAAAAAAACCUGUGUAACAAGUAGGCAUAACCUCGUUGAUUCUCAGCUAGAACAAUCCUAUUACUUCUAAGAUUGGAUAAUCUCUCUGUUUGCCUACAAAUUUUUAAGUGUUUUUAAAAACAAUAAAGUUUUUACAAAAAAGGAGCAAAUGGACGGUUAAGUGUAGAUAUCCUACAUUUAUAUCAACAGGAAAAAUAUAAAACUAAAAAAAAAGAAUUUAACCAGACCAAUUAACUAAUAAUUUUUAUAAAUAUAUAUAAAUUGUUUGCUCUAUAUUUUCUUAGUUUUCUUGUUUUUAUUAAUACUCAUUCUCAGUUAGAUGCUAGAUGCUUAUAUAAGCAUUAAGCAUACUCAGAGAUAUGGCAAAAGAAAAACUUCCAUAAAAACUCCUUUAGAUUUUCACUUAGAAUGUGCCAAAUUAAAUGAUCAUCCCAACACAGCAAAUUUGGCAAUUGAAAUACAAAUUUUAUUUUUUUAUUUUAAAUUCACAAAUAAAUGAAAGAGAUAAUAGGAAAGAAAAGGUCACGUUGAGUGCCUAAAUCUCUGAAAAAUGUAAGGGCGUCUUUAGUUUUGGAUUUCCUUUAACAAAAAAUAAAUAAAAGAAUGAAAACUUUUUUGUACAAAAUACCAAUGUUUUGCUCGAAAUCAAUUGCUUUUCUAUAAAGAAAUUUAUGUCAACAACACUCUAUUACUAAAUAUAACCUCAAGGUUAAUGUUUUCGCUAUCUUUUGUUUAGUUCUACAAAGUUUAAGCAAUUAGAAAAUUGAGCUCUUCCUAAAGGCAUGAGUUUAAUUUCUUUAUUAUGCCUUCACAGUAUGGGGCUCCAGGAAUCACAUUACUUGGUGUAAUUGGGUUCCAAGGUAGCCAGUUGAUUUUGAGUUCUCACGUUGAUCUAGCAUGGCAAGAAAUUUCCUUCUAAAUGUAGCUUCAGUAAACUUCUUAAAUCCAUCCACAAGAACUCAUUUUUGAUAAAUGAUAAUUAUGCAAAAUUUGAAUUUGAAAUUUAACUUUUGUAUAUGUAUCAUAGAUCUAACAAUGAUAGUUUAUACACUGUCAGUAUAUAUAAGAUUUACUCUUUUGUAUAAUAUUUAAUUUUAAUCUCUUUCCUCAAGUAUUUCCUUCAUUCACAAUUUUAUUCAUUAAAAGUUUUUAGAUAUUCUUGUUUAGUUUCCAAAAGUUCCUCCAGGAUAGUUUCCUUAAUAUCACAACAAUUAAUCGUGUUGAACAAGAAAUUGAUAUGCUAAUCUUCUUUAGUUUCCAAAAGCACUGUCAAAGAAAUUUGUUAAACUUCUUUCCGAAAAUUUUUUUUUUUUUUGCACUAUUGCUCAAGGAAACUAAGGAAAUCUGCUUACUUGCUCACAAUUAAUUGAUUGCCAGAGAAAUUUCUAAAACUUCUUUACAAACAAUAAUUUCUUUCCAACUAUUGCUCAAGAAAGUUAACAAAGUCUGAGUUUAAUAUAUUUUAUAUUUCUAAAGUAAAAACCCAUUCUUGCUGUUACAUUGAAUUACAUAAAUAACCACAAUUAUCAUAAAUAAAGCAAAGCUAAAAAAACAACAUUGCAUACCGAGGGUAUUAUCGGAAUAUGAGAUCUAAUGCACUAAUCCGCUAAUUUAAACUCUUGCUCUUAAUAUCUUAUCUUACAUAUAUAUAAAAAGCUAAGACUUCUUCUCCCAGGUUCUACCACGUGGCUGGAUGAGGAGAGGGAGGAAAAUUUUCUUCCGUUUAUGCCCUGAGAAUAUUGAGUAGUUCUCCAAACAGUGUAUCACUGUUGAGGUCAUUUUUGUCUUUUCUCAUAAAAUUACUAUCUUGCCCAAAUAAAAAUAACUAGCCCCAGGUUCAACCACGUGGCUGGAUGAGGAGAGGGAGGAAAAUUUUCUUCUGUUUAUGCCCUGAGAAUAUUGAGUAGUUCUCCAAACAGUGUAUCACUGUUGAGGUCAUUUUUGUCUUUUCUCAUGAAAUUACUAUCUUGCCCAAAUAAAAAUAACUAGCCCCAAAACAGUACCUAACUAUUGAGGGUUAUUUCUGACUUUUUGCGAAUAAUCUUUUGCGUUACUUCUCAGUGUUUCCCGUCUUUUCCCCUCUUUUCCUAGACCCAAGAAAGCGGUGGUUGGCAUUAGCUCUGUUCUCCACUUCUUCUUUGUCUCCAUUAUGAAAGACAAGAAGCCAAAAAGUCAAACAACUUUAGCACCGAUGGCAGGAAAGCAAAACACUCCAUUUGCACUUCAUUUUACAACUUUAGCCCAUCAUCUUUUGUUUUAUUCUUCCUUUCUUUCUCAGUCUUUUGCUCUCUUUCUCAAUCUUUCCUAUCCCUUCUUCUCUUUAGUCUUUUCUCAGCGAAAGAAACCGGUAGUUGCUGCUUCUUUUUUGUAUCCAUUGUCAAAGACAAGAAGUAAAAAAGUCAAAUAAAAAAUGGAAGCUGACCCAUAUGGCAGCAAGACAAAACAGUCCCUUUCUACUUCCUUUUAGCCCAUCAUCUUUUGUUUUCUUCUUCCUUUCUUUCUCUCUGUUUCCCGUUUCUUUAUUUCUCCUUUCUUUUCUUGCUGGUUGAACGAAGAAAAGUACAACUUCAAUUCUUCCAUCAGUAGCCAAUUGUUUAGAAGUGUUUUUGACUUUUUCCCUAGCAUUCUUGCCCUCUCUUUCCCGUUGUUUCUGCUUCGUUUUCUUUUUGCUGCAGAAGAAGCAUGUUUGCAUAUUUCAUUUUGUUUUCAUGUUCAGUUCUACUUUUUCUCCUUCGUCCCUCCCUCUCUGUUUCCAUUCCUUUGUUUCUCUUUUGUUUUCUUCCUGGUUCGGACAAACAAAAGUACCAACAGAUCUGCUCCAACACCUGGUCAAUAAUUUUUCCCCAAAUUAUGGCUGCUCAUCCAUAUCCCAAUCGUGGUAUUGUUCCACAAAGAGUCAAUUGUGGCUGCCCAUGCAUAUCCCAACCAUGCGAUUAUUCCACAAAGAGUCAGGUAUGAGGUAUGAUUUCUACCUAUUACUAGAGAUAUAGGUUUGUCCUUUUGCCUUCCUUUUCAUUUGCCAGUUCACAAAUUAUCGAGAGUGAGAAGAAAAAUCUCUAACAACUCAUCAAUUUUGUGUUGUUAUCUAUUGUCAGUGAAAGAAAAAUUCCUAACAACUGAUAGAGUUUGUGUCUUUAUAUACAUCAGGAACACAAACACUGCUCACAAAAAAAAUCAACGGUUCUACCUCCUUUUGCUCUGCAACAUUUCCAAGUAAAGGUAACUAUUCAUAUUCUGUGCCUAAUAUUUUUCCGAACGAGUCUUGAACAGAUUGGAAAAUCUAUAUACUUUCUAUUUUGGUUGCCAAAUUUCUUCAAGGGUUUAAUUGCACUUUGAAAGAAUUGGUGCAGAAGAGCUUCUGAUUUAACGUUCACAGAUUUCAGUUCUAAGUUCGUUUGCUUUCAGUUAUUACUUGUCGACUGAAUUUUUUUCCCUUACUUUUGUUGUUAUCAGUUUUAAGUUCCCUUGCGAGUAUCAGGUCCACAGAUUGUAAGUUCUUCUAUUUUUUUCCUCCAAUUCAACGAAUGUGGUAUUUUUGAAUGGUGGAUAGGAUGGGAUAGAAGGUUGUGUAGAUGAAAUGGAUUUUGGUUGUUGAUAGAGCAGAGGAAUAGUCUGAUACUUGGUAAUUACUUGUAUGCAUGUUUUUGGGGUCUAAAGUCGUGGAUUUGCAAGUUGGACACGACAGUGAGUGAGACGGACGGAAGUUGUGGAAUAGGCGGACAUGCAUAAUCAUAUAUAUAUAUGCAAAUUGGACUUUGGCUUUCUAUGUACGUAAUAUAUAUUUGGCUUUCUAACUUCCUACACAUAAAAAAUGGUGAAAUUGCAGCAUGAAGUGACUAUACCUGUCUAAACAAAAGAGCAAACAGACCACAAAUAUGUGAGCCAAGAUUCUUUAAUAUGUAUAAAAUUUCCAUUCAAAAGUAUUGCAAUAACACUUGUAGAUAGGAAAUGGAGAGAGGUGGCAGUUGGAAUAAAUAUUGUGUCAUUUUAUGAAUUUUUAAUUUUGUCCUUAAAAAUUAAUUUUUACUCUUCUAAUCAGAUUUGCUACCAUAAUCUCCCAUAAAUAACUCCCUUAAAUAUUAUAACUACCAAAUAAACUAUAGCUGUUUUUAAAGAAAAAGUUACUAAUAAAUUGCAAAUUUUUUUUGAAGAUUUUAUAUAAAAUUUAAUUUUGUAAAAACAAAAUUAACAUAUUCAUAAACAUUAAUAAUUAUUUCUAAACUGCACGUACAUUGGGUGUGCCCUUAACAUUAGUCUAUAUAAUAUAUAUAAAGGGCGAUUUAGUGUAAACAUUAUUUGUCACUCUUUGAACUUUCGAUUUUACUCUUAUAGAACAAAACAUGUUUUACUUUAAUUAUUUACCUUAAACAUACCUAAUACUAACCAUUGUGACUAUCAAUAUAACAAUUAUUAUUUGAAAGAAAUUUAAGAGAUUAAUUAUUAUUUUGGCAAUGAAAAAUUCAUAUGAAAUUUACUUACCAUAAAUAUUAUACAUCUAUUUAUUGAACACACAUUGAGUGUGCAAAAAGCACUAAUUUUUUUUAUUGUUUUACGUUCUCUUUGUUAAAGGAAACAAGAAUCUAAUUACUGCUAAUACUUAAUAGCUUUUUGACUUUGGGUGUCUAACCUGAGUUGAUGGAUGGAUGGACCGACCGAGAAGAAGAAGAAGGAUGAUGAUAACUAAAAACACACUAAUAAAACAUUGCAAGUAGGCAAACAAAUCGAUAGGUAUACUGAUGGACACGGACGCUCUUUGAAGUUGAUUUUUCCAACUAAGAAAAGAGGCAUAGACCAAAAAAGGGAUUUUUUUUCCUUUUCUUUUGGGGGGAGGCCAUUGUGUGUACGGCAGAUUGAGUUCAUCUCUUGUUCUUGUCGUUGUUCAGGUUCUAAUAUAAUAUUGGAAAUCCUCAGAUAGAAGCUUGAGGGUAGGUGUAGGUGGGUGGUAUUUCUUAAUAUUUCAGCUGCUUUUCUCCUUAGCAGAUUGAUAUUCAUUUAAAGUGUGCCUAAUUAUAUUUUUGCCUCUUUCUAAUUUUUUCUCAUCUAAGUAUAGUUUAAACAUAUUGGAUAAUUUGUAUAGUUUUACAUUGAUACCUUUCUUGUACAUUUUAUUUUGGUUGCCAACUUUGUUCAGGGGUUUAGUUACGAUUUAAAAGAGUCGGUGCUAAAGAGGCUUUUGUUUGGGGUUGGCAGAUUCGUAUUAAGGAAUUGCUUCAAUUCAAGGUCAUUCCUUCUAUUCCUUCACUACAUCUUACAAUUUUCGUGCUUAAGUUUUGCUCUGCUUGACUACACUCUAGAGAAUAUCAUAACUGAAUCUCUAUGCUUAUACCAUUUUUCUUUCUCAGAUUUUGCCUUUUACUAUUUAAUCACUCUAAUUUGUUGAAUAUGACGCUCUUAAACAAUUAAUCUCAUGUUUGUAUCUCUUGGUCAGCUGCUUGUAUCUAACAGUUUGGAUUUCAUAUAUAUAGAAGUUAGCUUUACUCUCUUCAUUAGCUAUCAUUGUGCCUAAGUUUUGUUAUAUUUCGUCUAUUACUCAUAAUUUUUUCAGUUGUAGGUUCAUUUGGUCUCACUUAUUAACUGAACGUAUGCUUUAUAUGAUUAUGGUGAGGCUGGCUAAUCAAUAGAUUAAUAUGUAUUAGAAGCAAACGAGUAUGAUCAAGGAAGAUCACCUACUUGCUGCAAUCAAAGUUGCUGCUUCUAUCAGGGGACACAACCUAUCAGUAAGCUUUCAAGAACUACCAUGAAUUGCAUUUGAGUUCAGUUUUAUUCAACAUUCGAAUGAAGAUUCUUAUCUCAUAAAGUACGCUCCAACCAUUAGGAUUUUAUUAACAGUAUUCUGUUUAUUAAAAAAAAAAUCCACAAGUCACAAAAUUUUGACGAAAUAGAAAGACACUUCCUUGCAUGACUUAGUCCACAUCAACUCCACUCUAUAAGCAUAAGACCAAUAUUUUGCAUUCUGCAUUUUGGCAUAUAAACUUAUAGAUAUUUCUGCGAUUUUACUUUUUUUAUUCUUAUUCAUGCUCCUGGUCAUGCUACUCUACAAAUAAAGAGCUUCAUAUAAUUGAUUAUUGUGGCCAGUCAAUGAAUGCAAAAGUGAAAAAUGAAAAAUGGGCUUCACAAUGGGAAUGUUUUAGGAAUCUAGAUGUUAUACACAAUCAAUUUGGGCUUUCCAUUUAAUUUGGAAAUAGUAGCAGCAGCAACCCACCUUGCUCUUCAUUUUUCCUUUUAGGGAGUCCUCCUUGGUAAGUUUAAUUUGCCCUUUUUUUUUGAUGUUGUUAGCUUUUCUACAUGACAAUAGUAAACAAACAAAUAGAUUGGUAUACCUAUGCUCUCAUCGUAGAUAUUAAUCAUAUAGACACCAAAGCAGCGGUACAUUUUCAAUCUAAAUUGAUAACCAAAUUGUUGAUUUGUUAAUGUGUAUCUCAUCUGCCUACUUGUCAAAGAAAUCAACGGUAACCGUUAAUCGAAAGAGAGAGAUGAAAUGGAAGCUCUUGAAUGAGUUGUUCCACCCACAGUACUUUGUACAAUAACAAAUUUCAUGUUAGUUGAAACCUCCAGUCCCUUUACAGACUUGCAAUUAAAAUCAACAUAGCAGAACAGUCAAUAGAUUGUCGUCAUUGUACAAUGUUAAAAAUGUGAAAGUUAAUGAAGAAAGAGAAAAUACGGGUAAAUAUUGUCUAUCUCCUAUGUUCAGCAAACAUCCACUUUAUGAUUUUCUAACAUCUCUUCUUCACAUAUUUAGCCUUAAGGUCAACGAAAAGACUGCAGCAUGCUAGCAUUAUCUCAUCUUAGUUCACUUUACCUUAACUUUGUUGGUAAAUCCAGGGAUCAGGAAUUUGAUAAAAUGAAAUUCAAUGAAUGAAAAUUGACAUGUCCCUUUUUGUGCUAUAUAAAUUCUUAUGUUCUAAAUUAUUGAAUCUGGCAUAUACUGAUUAUCUAUGGUUUACAUUUCUAGCUGCAUGGUUUUGUAAAGAAAGAGCAAUUGGAGGAUGCCCUCACUCACAUGGACCUUCUGAUCAUUCCUGUUGGAGUUCAUAGGAAACUAGCAAUGACUAGAGAUAACCUUUUUAAUAUCAAUCCUGACAUUGUUAGGGCUCUAUGAAUGAAUUUCAAAGUGCUGUACGGAAGCUAUUGUCUGCAUGGUGCCAUUUGGGGCUGCAAUGAACGUCACAUUUGUAAAGUUAUGUACUAUUGUUCUACGAUUCAGUUAAUUUUGUUUUGGUGUUGUUUAGGUAUCUUUAUUAUCGAUAUCUGAAAAUUCAAAGUCUAACAUGCUUCAAUUAGCCCAAGAUUUGAAUUUUUUUUGGUCAUAAUUGUUGUUCGAGCUGUACAAAUUAUUGUAAAACUGUGGAAUUGUACGAGAGUGUGCAUCUUUCAGUGUGAAAGAAAUAUUGUGUGCUGUGAGUUAAUUAACUUGAGUUUAUUGUGUUCUUCAUUCAUGUUUAUUUUUCAUAUUGCAUAUGUGCUUAUUUCUCCAGACUCUUCAUGGUUUAUGUGGAGCUAUGCAUGCACUUCAUUAUGGUCCAGAAUGGCAUAAGCUUUACAUUCCUUCUUAAGGGCCUUUGUUGUCACUCAAUAUGAAAAAUGAUUGAUUGAUGUCUAAAAUAUGAGAGCAAAAAUUAAUAUGUCUUCAUGAUAGAAUUUUUAGUGAACUUUACCAUUGUGGUCUCGCCCCUUAACCACCUCAAUUACCAAUUAUUUUAAUACUUCAGUUCUACGAGUUAUUGAUAGGUUGCGAUUUUAUCAUUUAUUUUAUUAUUAAUUUCUCCUAUUACCUGACCCAAUUUGGAUUAAUUGUUAGUUUCUACUCACUUUUAGUAUUUUACAUAUAUUUCAGGGAGUAGAACGAAAAUACCAUAAUAAGUGCCGAUUUGACAGUUAUCAGGAAAGAGUUCAAGUAGCAGGCAUCCAGGGCAUUUUUGGAACAAGGAGAUACAAGUCCUUUUUGGUAAUUCGCAGAGCGCAGCAUUAAAAGGAGGAACGAAGGGCUGAAGUGGGGGUCUUCUUCUUCCUCUCCGGAAGGGGAGCCGCCGCACAUUGGAGAGCUUUUCGUCUUGUAGCUUAGCCGUAGUUGUUGACUUUUCUUCUUAGUUUUUGUUAGCUAGUUUCUUUCUUACGUAUGAAGAUUGCUGAGAAGCUUAGCUUUUGUUUUUGAUUCUGCCUAUUCAAUUUCUCUUCUCCGAAUGUCGGACAAAAGCAAACACACUCAGUGGACUCUCGUAGCUUCCUUUCUUUAUUGAAUGCCCAGCUUCCCAAUUGAUGGCCGCAGCCUUUGCUUCAAUUUCUUGUGGGUUUAGUUCAUUAAUUAUGAACUAAUUCUACAAUUCUAGUCAAGGGACAACUGACGAUUUGGUUCGACAACUACUGUGAGAUCGAAUCUGUUUUAAUUAUUUUCUUCAUCUAUUGGUAUUUGUAUGUUCCUUGAUUUUAAUUGCUAUGGCCUUGUGUAUGAUUGAUUAGUGCGCAAUAAUUAAUUAUUCAUAUAGGCUAUUUUUGCUAAAUAGGGGUAAUUGAAUCCGUAAUUGUUCGUUAUCUCUACCUCAGUAGCAACUGGCGUAAUUGGGUUUAUGUCAGGGGAGCAUAUGAUCUAAUUUAAACAAACCCUCGUAGCGUGUUUGUUGGUUAGGAUUGGGCCUUUCUAAUUAUUAAUGCAAUCUAGAAAUUAAAUCCUACGGUCGUACUUAGGGUUGUUUUUGGGUUAGAGAAAUAGCUAACGGUCGUACCUUAGCUAUCGAUAAAUUAAGGAAGGGUUGGUUGUUUAUCGCGUGCAUGACAACUAUAACCAAUCUAUUAAUAAAUGUUGGGAUUAUUUUUGCAUCAAUGAUCAGUGCAUGAACCAUUUCUGAAGUAUACCCUUGGCUAGAGUUUCUCUUAGUUAUUUCUUUUAAUUAAUUAUUUUCUGCAGUUAAUUUAUUUAGUUAGCAUUUAUUCCAAAACCCCCCAUACUUUGGACUCUAAAAGAAACAAUUACUCCCAGUCCCUGUGGAUUCGACCCUACUCAUCGCUAUCUACAGAAUUAACUUUAGUUUGAGCAGGUUUUAUUAUUGUACAGGUUCGGCACCUGUCAGUUAUGCAUUUGCAUAGACACUAAAUAUAACUUGCCAAAAAUUUACAUGUUAUUGUUUACAGAAAUGAGAAUACCAGCAAAUUUUUCAAUAUUUUUGACACUAUAUAUAUUGGGCAUUGGCUGUGCAAGGCACAACCAGAAAAUCUCUAGUAUUAUAGAUAAGUUGUACCUCUAUAAGCAUUUAAUUAGAGCUACUCGCUGGCCACAAUAUUGUAGCGGGAAGACUCUGGCUAUUUCUUGAUUGAUUUACAAUAAUAUGAUUCAAAUUAGACAAUUAGUUUGAAAACUUGAAAGCCAUAAGCCAGCAAUUGUAAUUUAAUUGCUGAUGUGACUGCAAAAAGUGACCAAUUUGGUCAUUAAAAAAGAGACUAAAUUGGCACACGCAUGGCCCACCAAUAAAGCACCAGAUUCGGAGGAAUCUUUGUUUGGCGCUACACUGAAGUUGCUGGGAAAGUUCUGAAGCACCAUAUCCUCUGUGAACAAGUUAGUGUCCUGCAAUAUUUAAACAACAAGUGGGGGGAAAAAAAGUCCAGCCUAUUCUUUGUUGGCUAUUGUUAGAUGAGAAAGUUUUGGAUCCUGAACUGAUUUUAUUGAGUAGCUGCUAAACCAGACAAAAAUCUAAUAUCAGAGUGAAAAGAAGAUAUGAUAAUGGAGAUCCCCUCCAGCAGUAACGCCGACUGCUUUGAUUUUGCUUUAUAUCAUUAUCUGCAGUCGCAUCACAUCUCCUCCAGCACUAGCACUAGUUGCUUUGAUCUUGCUUUGGAUUUUCUAGCCGAGCCCAUAUUUCGCUGGGACUCUGAUUACCUGAAGGAGAAGGUAAGAUUAAUGAAAACCUGUUUUCUGUAUGUCAAAAAGUGUAGGAGGAGGAGGAACCACGAAGCGCUUUUGGAGCAUGAUUGCGAGGACAGGCGUAAUAUUAUGUCUGAAAAUUUGAGACGUAGUAUUAUUUGCUUCAGAAUUCAAGAUGUGGCUAUCAGUAUGAUUCAUGAUCUUCAGCCUGCUUAUUUUCAAUAUAUUCAUUCUGAUUAUCACUUAGAUUUUUCCUUCAUUCAAAGUGCGAUUACCAGAUCCGAGGAAAAUAUCAAAAUGUUUCUUGAGACGGAUGUCAAUAAAUCAUGCGCCGCCAUCUUCAUCGACUAUUACUCACCAGGAGAUCCACGACUAGUUAUGGAUCUUAUUAUGUGCCUUUUAGAGACUCUGGAUUGUGUUUUACGUGCUGGGGAGCUAAGGGAUACAAUUAGAAAUAGGCUAAAACUCUUCAGGAAUCUCAUUGGCUUUGUGACAAUGCAAGGUCUUGAAUGUUCGCAACUGACAGAUCUCUUGACUUACACUGUAGUUGCAGCUGGAAGCCUGAUUUCUAUAUGUCAGUUUGACAGUGAUGAUGUACAAGUGGUCAAUCGAAUGGAAUCUGAAAUUUAUCAGCUGAUACAGGAGAAGAUCAAUCGUCUUGAUCUCCAAGCCCGAGAAACUUUUGUCCAUGUGCUGACAGCUUCAAAGAAACAACCGAGAUCAUCAUAUGAUUUAGCCCUUCAGAAGAAUGAGGAUCCAGUGGUAGGCCAGUUUGUUGGUUCUCUUCGUGAUUAUCUUAUGGAUCUACUAGGAUCUUAUUCCAGUUUUCCGGUUCCAGUGAAGGAUCAAAUACUAAGACUCCAUGAGGAAAUAAGAUGCCUGAGUAUCCUUCUUAAACAAGAGGAGAAACUAGGUGAUGAAAUAAAGGAUCUUAUUGGAGCUGUGGUAUCUGAUGCAGGAAUUUUGACCUUCUCCCUUUCUGUCAAUGAAAUCAAGGAAGGCUUGCCUGAGGAAACAGAUCUUGGGGUGUUUCAUUUGCACAAAGUUCUCAAAUAUAUGGCAGCAGAGGUUGCACACAAUUUUCCACUAAAAUCACCAUAUUCAUCAUUUAAUUAUCCUAGACCCAAUGAGUUGGGCUGUAUGGAUUUUUUCCUAGAAAAUCUCAAGGAACUAGCAAGGUGUGAUGAGGCUGAUGAUUCAAUUGGUUUUCAACAUCAUAGAAUCCAAGCGAUCCAAAACGAUCUCGUAUUCUUAAGAUCUUUCCUCGAAAAUAUCAAAGAGCAGCGCUAUCAGAAUGGAAAACUUCAAGCUUUCUGGAGUCAUGUUAUGGAUGCUGCAUACAAGGCAGAGUUACUGAUUGACUUGGCACUUGUUGGUGAUAAAUGUGAAGAUUCUUUGGAUGCCGUUUCUAGACAUAUUAAUCUUUUGAAGAUUGAGGCCCCAGAGAUCCAUAAUGGUCAAACCCAAAGAGUUAACAAGACUUCCAUUCACAUACCAUCACAAUUUACUGUCGCCAUGCAUGACGAAGAUCUGGUGGGUCUUGACGACGAGGUGGAAACUAUUACUCAUCGGCUUACGAGAGGAUCAAAGCAAUUGGAUGUUGUUCCCAUUGUGGGUAUGCCUGGCCUUGGGAAGACCACAUUAGCCCACAAAGUUUAUACUGCUCCUUCAGUUAGGUCACAUUUCCAUGUUCGUCGUUGGUGUCGUGUUUCUCAAACGUGUAGCAAACACAGUUUGUUAGUUCAACUUUUGUGUAGUAGUUCUUCUAAGAGUUCUGAUGAAUAUCUUGAGAUGGAUGAAAAUGAUUUGACUAACAAGCUAAGGCAGGUUUUGCUGAGAAGUAGGUAUCUCCUUUUUUUGGAUGACUUGUGGGACGUUGAGGCAUGGAAUUUGUUGGAAAAAUCACUGCCGAAUGAUGCCAAUGGAAGCAGGAUUCUCUUCACUAGUAGAUACCAACAUUUAUCUUUGCAUUUCAAACCUAAUAGCGAGCCUCACUAUCUCCGCCAUCUUACUGACAAAGAGAGUUGGACAUUGCUGCGGAGAAAGCUAUUUGGCACGGAAGAUUGUCCUGCAGCACUAAGUGAAGUUGGAUCUCAAAUAGCAAAACUUUGUCGAGGCUUACCCCUCGCAGUUGUCCUUGUUGCUGGAAUUCUUGCUACUACUGCAAAAGAUAGUUGGAAUGAAGUUGCAAAAAGUCUAAGUUCUAUUGUCCUUGGGGAUGAAUACUGCAUGAAGACACUUGAGCUGAGUUAUAGUCAUUUACCAGAUUAUUUGAAGCCAUGCCUUCCGUAUUUUGCUGCAUUUCAAGAAGAUGAGGUUAUUAAUGUGCGAAGGUUGUUACGGCUUUGGAUCUCUGAAAGAUUCGUGCAACAGGCAGAAGGAAAGAGCUUAGUGGAAGCAGCUUAUGACUACUUGAUGGCUCUAGUUAAUAGAAGUUUAGUUAUGGGUGUCGGACAAAGAACUCUGGGUGGUGCCAAAGCCUGUCUACUUCACGAUUUGGUACAUGAGUUUUGCGUGGAAAAAGCCAAAGAAGAAAGUUUUCUAUAUGUUAUUCAUAGUUGGAAAGCUCCUCUUAGUCUUACUGGGCCAAGCAACCCCCACCGAGUUUGUGUUUCCAAUACCGGAGAAUUGACAAUUUGGGAGUUAAUGCUUAUUUUUCCCAAUUUACGUUCUUUGAUCUUGUUUGGAAAUGUUCAUAUUGAACAUGAAGAGGAGGAUUUGGGUAUUUUGUUACCUAAACUUGUCAGAGUGUUGGAUUUUGGGAAUUUGGGCUUUGGUAAUUCUUUUCCGAUGGAAGUAGUAUUGCUUGUUCGCUUGAGAUACCUGGCGCUCAAAGGAAUAACAAACAUCCCAUCUGCGAUAGCCAACCUCUCAAGGUUAGAAACUCUUAUCGUAAAAUAUCCGGUUUUUGGUAUUGAGCUGCCAAGUACUAUUUGGAACAUUAAGACAUUGAGUCAUCUGCGUGCUUUAAAUUAUCAUGGAGUAUGGCCAAUGGGUUUUAUUUUUCCAGUUGAAAAUCUGGAAGUAUCCCUAGAUUUAGAUUGUUUAGACACUUUAGACCUUGCAAUUGAUCCCUCCUCUCAAAGCUUGCAAAAGAUACUGAGAAAGUUACCAAGCAUUCGCAGGUUAAAAUGUAUGGAACGCUGGAACAGCUCAAGAGAAGCUACCAGAAAUUGCAACGAGAUUCUUGAAUUUGACAGUUUGAGUCAACUGGAAUCACUUCAUUUGUUUCGUUUUCAUGGAUGUGGAUUUAAAUUCCCGUUGAAUUUGAAAAAGUUGUCUCUCUCAUAUAAUGGUCAGCCAUGGAGUGAAAUUUCAACAAUUGGAAAGUUGCCUAAUCUUGAAGUGCUGAAAUUACUUGAUCACUGCUUUGUUGGGGAAGAAUGGGCAAUGAAAGAAGGGGAGUUCCCUAAACUCCGAGUCUUAAAAUUGUCAGAAUUGGAAUUUCGCAACUGGACUGCAUUUUCUGAUAAUUUUUCCCGCCUUAAGAAAUUGGUCUUGAGCUGGUGUGAGGAGCUGGAAAAGGUCCCUUCCUGUUUAGGGGAGUGUGAGACUCUUGAAAUGAUUGUGGUGAAAAGGUGUCGUGAGUCUGUUGUAGAU
rnacentral:lncRNA from 1 species